UAUUAAAAUGUUUUGCUGUUGCUUUCUUCUUUAUGGACGGGUUUUGUUUUGCAAGUCAGGAAACAUUCGAGCAAGAAGAAGGACGUCAAAAAUGUCAAUCUUUUGCCGGAGCAACACUUUGUCACCUGACUGACAUGUUUUUGCUGAAAAUAACAGGCUGCGGGAGAAAUCGGCGAAGUGGAGGUGCACCAGUUUCCCUUCAGGCGCCUCGAUGUUCCACUGGCAGCGGGCGUUGUUGCUGUAGGCGGCGGGGUAACGCAUCGACGACACUGUGCCGCCUUCGCCGGACAAAUCCUUCGGCCCUCCACAACCCGAUGCUGCACAGAAAAACCACAAGAGCUCCCUGCGGAUGACAUUUGAGAUCCAAGGAAGGUAGGCUGAGGAGCGGGUGAACACGGACGGCUUUUUGUUCAUUAUGCAUCCAAUAGGGCCGAAGCUGGUGAUGCCAUGAACCUCCCAGGGAUCACCAGAUUCUGUGGCUUGUUUUACCUGACAGACAGACUUCAGCUCGUCAGGCAGUGUGUAUCCGCAGCAGAUCAUGGAGGUCUUCACCUGGAACCACCAGUAAUCCAUUCGUUUACAGGUGUCAUAUGGGACAACAGGAAGGGCCACCUGGUUGAGCGUCUCUGAAACUUUAGCAUUCAUCGAAUCACCUGAUCAAACACAGAAAAGCAAUUUAUUCAGCAUUUUGAUCAACAGGAGGAGUAUUUCCUUUUCUGUCCAGCAGGUGGCAUGAAAACUUUGAGACUCAGACUGUUCUGGAGGAUCAGUGUUGCCAG